GAGGAAGCCCUCCAUGGUGCCGCUGGUGCCCUCCAUGGGCCGCCGCUGCUGGAGACGAUGGCGAGGUUUGGCAGCACGGGGCACUUCGUGCCUCCCCCGAACUGCUCGGCGUGGAGUCCGCGGCCGAGCCCCUUUUCAUCAUCCUCUUUCUUGAGGCGGCCAAGGUCGUCCUCGUCCUCCUCCUCGACCAACGGCGAUGCCCUCGAUCUAUCGAUUGUGCAAACUGCCUUGACCAGUUAGAUUCUGGCUUUUGGCUUGGGUUGGGGAGAGCCGUUGUAGGAGAAGACCUUUUCCAUCAUUCUCUGGCUCGAGACCACCAAGGUCGUCCUCGACCACCAAGAGAUUGGUAAGGGCACCAGGGGCCUCCUCAAUAAUUUAUCUGGUCUUGAUUUGGAUCUCCCUUCCCUCUUCUCCUCCCCAUAAUUUUUCGUUUUUUGUUUGUGUAGAAGUUCCUGUAUCUAUGCAUAUAGGGUGUUUGAGGAAAAUCCAAGCUGUGUACAUGUACAACUUAAUUCCGUAUUAUGUAUGUUGUCAACUCAAUAAUCCACCGAAAAUUGCCUGCAAUCUAAGAUGACUUGCACAUAUAAUAUUUGCAUUUCUCAAUUUUGUGACUUUCAUUUGAAAGCAAUCACUAACGAGAUAUUUUAGUACAUGUCUAGGAAAGUAACAUGUGUUAGAUUGCUUGAGACACCCAUCACAUAGUAUUUCUCAGAUUGGAAGCUCAUAUACAGAUCUCUUGGUUAUUUGAGAAGUAUUAGAUGAUUUCAGUAUCGUUCUUACCUAUCAAGAGUAGGGUUGUUCUGCUGAUCAAGAGUACAGCCAGCGGGGCAUUUAGGAUGCUAGAAAAUUAUCUCCGGGUAAAUUACUGCCGAAGUUCAUGGUAGUCGGCCAGGUCCUUCCAGCACCUGGGAACAAAGCAUCGACGGCGGCGACCUUGCCAGCUCCACACUGUCCUAGAAUUUUGGGUGGAAGAAUCAUGUGUUUGUCCGAGCUUGGCGUCGUAUCUUUAUUUGAUGACCGCAACCUGAACGCUGCAAGUUUCGAUCAUGGUUGCGAUGAGUUUCUAAUCGGAGCCAUCACAUUCCAUCAAGGUCGCACCGUAUGCCUUGAAUCUGUUGAUAUUUGACAUGCCAUCUUAUUGCUAUAGGGGUCGUUAUGUCCAUGAUCACCGGGAGAGCCAUCUCCCUGGUUGUGGUCUCACCUCAAAGCGACCAGCGGAUGUUAGACACACUUGUCUGGGUUGGAUCUAACAAGGAGAGUAGGGGCUGAGAUGUACACUAUAUCUGUUUAUAGCCAUUUGGUUGUAAGGUCAAUUGCAAAGAACACGUGAGGCUUACAUCCGAUAUAGAACAUAAUUGUGGUUCAUGGGUAAGAGACCAGGGGUACGAUGCUACAGCGGCAGCUCUCCAGGGUGGCGGCGAGGAGUCAGAUGAUAGGAUGUUGAGCAAGAUCGAAAUUUCCCAACCUACAUGAACAUCUUCUCCUUUUAAACGUCAGUAGAGAUGUUUUUUUUCUUCAUUUUUUCUUACUUAUUAAGUAUCUAAAUUUAUUAUUUGAAUGAGUUUGUGUUGUCUCCUAAUUAUUUAAUUCAGAAGUUAGUCAAGAAUUAAGCUCAUGGACUACCAAGUGUUCCAUGGAGAAAUUAACUUCUGCAUACCAACUUCUUGUGUUCAUACAUACAAUCCUACAUGGUUGGCCUUGAGGGUUUGCUAAAUAUGGGCAAUGAUUAUUGUAGCUAAUAAGACGACUGUUUCAGUUACCACCAGGUUUUAGUCUACAAUAUUGGUUGCCAUAAGCAAUUGGGGUAUAGCCAUAUUUUGGAGGACAUUUAAAUAAGCUUUGCUUUAUUCCGAAGUCAGUUUACACAAUUUCUGAUGCAAUCUUUUUUAUGCAUCCAUUCUCUCUCUUAAUUUACUUAUUUCAUGGUUUUGAAUGCAGGGGUUUAUUUGGUAGUGCCAAAUGCCAAUUGCUAUGUGAUUUAAACCCACAUUGCUCUAUAAAACUUGUUAUAUUGACUGUUGGACGGUAUCAUUAAUCUAAUGGAGUACACCGCCAAAUUUAUAUCUGUUACCUGGCCACCAUAGUUGAUGCCAGUUGUGACUGGGGACAUGCUACUUUAGCGAGAGGUCGACCUUUUUUUCCUUUGCAUGAAUGACUUCAAGUGGCCGUGUUUUGUCUCAGCAUAGCUACUGAUCCUUCUAUCCUUUUAGCACACACUCCCUCCAUUCCUAAAUAUAAAACGUUUUUGGAGUUCAGUUUGCUGGAUCAGCUCACAGUGAGCAUGCGUGCCAGACCUUGGCUUGAGCAGAGCUGAGCAGCGUGUUCUAAAUAAUGUGUGUUUUGGCUUAGUUGUAGGUGGAGAGCAUCAAACAAUUCUGAACCAGCGUCAAGUAGGCAAUGACUCUGAUGGUGAUGGUGAUACAGACAUACAGUUACUUGGAAAGUGUACAAAUCCAUGUCGUUCACAUCCCAGGUAAUAAAUGAGAUGAUAUGGUUGGCCAACAUUGCGCCUGGCAUUUUGAUAAAGACUGAAAUAUGUUCAGCUCAAAGGUGAGACCCUGCUUUUACAAUCGCAGAAUACUGAUCUAUCAUGCAUACAAGUCAAACCAUUUUAUUCUGAUGUUACGAUCUAAAAAGUAGAAGUAGUAACUGAGUAGAUCCACUCACCUUUAGUCCUUAAAAGUUUAAGAUUUGAAGACUAUAAAUGGGAGGCCUUUUACAUAUCAGCAUUACAGUGUGUGUAUGAGUAUUGUUAUGAUCAUUUAAGGUUUAACUAGAUUCUCAUAGCUAUCGUACAAAACUAUCUGCCGGUCUUCCUCUGUAUUUAGUUUAUCCAUAGUGAUAUUAGUAAAUAGUUUGUGGAUGGUAAAUGGGUCAUAUACAUUGAUAUGAUGUGAAUACUUUUUGUUUGGCAAGUGCAUAUGUUAAAUGUGGUCAUGCUAUACUGUUCGCAGUUCGAAAUAUUUAGUACAGUGUUAGUUUUGCUCCAUGUCUCUCCAGGUUUCAGACUCGGUGUAUAUUUUAUUCUCUCCAACUCUAUUUUUUUUUCUGAUUGGCAUUGCUGAACUACACUGUAUUCUAAGAAAAGAGGGGAUCUAAAUCUGGAAAUCCAUAUAUACAUGCUGGUUAACUUAUUCGCCAUUCUUUGGCAUUCCUUUAAUUAGAUACCAUGGAUAUGUUGCUUUAUUUAUAAAGCGGGGCGAAAGCCUAUUUCGAGGAUACCAUGGAUAUGAAGUGGUUCUCCUCAUGUUGUCUGGGUCUCUGUCUAUUCUCGAGUCUGCAGUAUUCACUCUUUGAAUGAUUACAGAUGAUAUCGAUAUAUCCAUAAUUCUUAAUAUUGGCUUAUAGUUCUCAGUUUGUAGAACAUAACUAAUUGUUUGCUGGUUCCAUAUUAUACAUCUCUAUAUUAAACAUCUGUUUAUACUCAUAAAUUCCCAAUAUAGAUGGAUAAUGUUUUUUUUUCAAAUUCUAAUACCUGCUUUCCAAGCAUGUAAUCUCAACAAAUAUCAGCUGAAUAUGAUUUGAUACAUAACUAGCAUGACACACAAAUAAUAAUGUCAUAGUGGAUGCUCCCUUUUCAAAGAUCAUGAUUUGUUAAGGUAGCUGCUCUUUUCUAAGGCUGAUAAUGAGCUUUGGAAAAUCUAAUUAGUUCUUACAAACCUGGAGUCUAUAAUUGUGGCUACAGAGGUUCAGGUUUGAUUCAGGCUAUUAGCUAAAAAUAUUUAAGAAAUUACUAGGCUACCGGCUGAAGUAAAUAGACACACUACAUAUCAUACACAUGUUCACCGUGACCAGUUAUACAUUAUUUUAUGCCCUUCCUGUUUGCCCCCUUGAUACUAUGUGUAUGGAACAUUAAGCGAAAAUCUGAAGUAUGUUUCUCCUAUUGAUUGUCUGUAGGUCUCUCCAUCUCUCCCUUUGACUAGCCACAUGGUCGCCCGUGUCCUAGAGCAAUGCCUUCUGAGCCAUAUGCUACAGCAUUACCCGACACCCUAAGCUCGGCUCUGUCGAUAGUCUCACUUAAAUGACAAGCAUCCUUUGCCUCUUUCCCAUUUUUUCUACAAAUACUUCAGCUUAGCAACUUUUAAUGUUGCUAUCCUUUUGUGUUUGCAGCAUGCACAUAUUUAUAAAGGUAGAU